CUGGCAACGUGCGAACUAGCGAGCGGGCGAGCGAAGCCUCCAGGUGCCCUCGAGCGACGCCACACGAGAUCCCCUCGCCGUUGCCCUCGCCCUCGCAGCCGCCGCCGAUCCCCUCCCCCAUCUUCCUCCCUCAAACGCUAACCCGUCUCGCGGUGCGCCACCGCCCGUCGCGGCCGCCCCCGCCACCUCCCGCCGCGGCCGCCGCCCCAGCUCCAGCCGUGGCCGUCGCGCCCAGAUCUAGCCGCGGCCGCCGCCCCCACUUCCCACCGCGGCCGCUGCCCUGCGCGCCAACGACCCCUUCCCCCGCCGCCGCGCCACAGGUCCACUUCGCCUGCGCACCAGAGAGGACCCCGCCGCCAUGCCUCCGUCUCCCCCUACUCCUUUUUCCCGCUACCUAUCUCUCUCCUCUGAGCUGCGCGUCGUUCCUCUCUGCAGGUGCCGCCAUGGCCGCGUCAUGGAGCUUGCCGCCAUGGGCUGCGUGCCCCUCCGAUGACGGCCUGCCUCGCCCACGUCCAGGUCCUCUCAAUCCUAAUUUGGGCGUCCAUUUAUUUUGCGCUUGAUCCUGGUUUUAGUGGGUUUUUCGUCCUCGUCGCGUGUUUCAUGGUGGCCGCUAGGGUGCCCCUGCCGGCCAUCUGCCAUCUGCUCCAGGGGCCCCCUCCAGGAACACACAGCGACUGCUAAGCCAUCGUCCCGUUUUGCUUCUCCCUACACAUCCUUACUAAGAGAAAGGGGCCUGCCCAGCUAGCAGCAGCUUCCUAGCUGGAAGAUGCAUAGCCAUAACGCACACAUCGAUUAGGAGCAGUUUAUCACGCAGCUUGUACGCAUGCUGCCGCCGCCUUUUCGCCUCGUGCCUAUAUCGUGGCGGGUGAACAAGGGAAUCUCGCUGGAGACCCUUUUGGAAGGGAUCUCGGUGGCGCACCGCCGUUGCAUGUCGUUCGUCGGUAUAAGAAUUGCCGGACGGUCGAUGUCCGAUGUACGUUUCAUUAGCUAUAUGUUUCUGCAGUUUGAUAUAAUGUUUUUGUGGCGUAGAUCUACAAGAGAUCAAGAAGGGUGAUGUUCUGGAUGCUGAUCUUGACUAAUAGUUGCCGGAUGAACUAUGCAAUGACAGCAUGGAUGAGCUUUGUGUGCAGUUCACAUUUACCUGGUGGACCAUCACCAACCGGAUGGAGGUGAAGCAAGUGGGCAAGUCAGGGAAAUGCUCGGAAGGCUAUCGAGAAGAUCAACGAUCUUAACCCCACGAUCCUAAUUUCAGUUUGUACCUCGUUGUUGGGCUGUCAGAAAAGUUUGGAGCAGGAGCAAUGAUAUGACAAUUGUGGCUAACUUUCUUGUCAUUAGUCAUAUAUGUGCUAAUGGACCUUCCGGGUUCUCCAUUAUGUUUACCGGCCGGUUUCUCAUCUGAAAAAUACCCCAUAGCAUAGUGGACAAUGCUUUUUUUGGUCAGAAGUAGUAUUUCUACAUGAAACUAAGGUAUAUAUGCGUAUGAAAAAUGUGGCUUAUCUUUAGAUAAUGCUUUUUUUGUUAGAAGUUGUUUUUCUACAUGAAAUUAAGGUAUAUAUGCGUAUGAGAAAUUAUAUCUUUGCUUAACUCAAAAAAUUGUAUUUGCUCCUUUUAGCGGGAGCCUGGAGGUGAUACGGUUUGUACAGCAUGGUUUGAAUAAGAUAUUGUUUGUAUACUGUUGAGUGAAGUAUUGUAUAACUACUGUAAAGUGGGUGUAGGUUUUUAUUGUGCAUUUUUCACAGAGGUUUGGGCGUUUGGACACAACCAUAUGUACAAUUUGAAGCCUUCAUUUGGUAUUGACAUCUUAUCUUGACUCAAAUUUUGAAAAUUCUCUAUAAUACUUCCAUCUGGAAGCACAAAAUCUGAUAGAGUUGAUUCGUGUGGGAAAAAUACAUGAAGCUUUGAAGUUUUCUCAAGAAGAACUAGCACCAAGAGCCGAGUAAACUGUAAUUUUUUUGUUAAAACAUCUCACUUACCUUAGUUAAAAACCAGGGUUCGAAACUAUAUUAGUCAGAAUACAGUUCCUGUUGUCAGCUAGAUUUCAUUUUCUGGUAAUAUCAUUUGUCGUUAAGAACAUGCUCUUAUGUUAUAUUUUAUUUGUAAACUUUUGGCAAUUUUUUCAGCAAGCAUUUCUUUAGGAAACAGAGAAAACCGCAGCAACUAUUUGAUGUUUCUCAACGCUUGAAGACAACAAGUGAAGUUGUUGCUACCAUCUUACAAGCCAAAGUCAUGAGAAAGUCGGGUGUUAAAAUGUUGGGAGAUUACAAAGUUCAUGCUCUAUUCACACAUGGUGGAGGCAACCCAACAAGUUGUUGCGGGAGCCAGCAGAGAAAGGAGUCGAGGAACCCGCAUCAUGGGAGGAGAGUCAUCGAGGGGCAUCCGGAUAAAGUGAGACACUGCAUUGUAUAUAUAUGGCCUAUAUACUGGAUGAGAUUCUCAUUGCCGGCAUUCUUCAUGAACCUAUCAAGAAGAACAUUUCAAUACUAAUUGCAGCACAUGUUUUCUCACCACCGGCUAACAAGAAGAGAGUAUGAUUUUCUAAUGCUCAGUGUUGUAAGCUUGAUUCACGAGGAGCUUCUCAAUGUUGUACAUGUUGUUUGUGAGUAACAGAAAUAAAUCAUUUCCUGGAAUCAGACGCUAUAUUUUCUGUGGGAAUUCGUUGACACAGUUCCUUACAACACUGAGAAUCUUUGAAAUGGGCAAACCGCUCUAUGUAAUUCUAUCAUCCAUUCUGAUUUUGAGACAAGUAUAUCAGUUAUCUUUUUCCUUCUAGCAAGGCUAUCUGGAAUGAUUGCAUGUAUUAAUGAAGUAGUCCACGUUAGGUGGAUUGGCUCAAAAUGGAGAAGCAUGAUUGUAUUAAGCAUUUAAGCUCUAAGCAAUUUAGAAUGUCAAUGUCUUGGGGCUCCCUUGCAAUAUUUCAGAGAACUAUAUUUUUCCAGACAUUUUAUAUUGCCUCAUGAUGUUUGGGGGAUCUGAUUAGGUAUUGUUUCUCUAUAUAUCUAUCUAUCUCUCUAUUUUAGUUGCUAAUAGAAUAAUGAACAAUUGAUAGGACUAACCUUAUAGACUUGUGUUCUCCUCAAUCCGACUGUGUAUUUUCCAAGUUUUGUGCUAAAACGGGAAAAAACAUAUGUUUUAAACUUGCGACAACA